rnacentral:tRNA from 1 species
GAGGGUAUAGCUCAGUGGUGGAGUGCAUGCUUAGCAUGCACGAGGUCCUGGGUUCAAUCCCCAGUACCUCA